AGAAACAUGGAUUCUGAUUACAUAGAGGGCUGCAGGCCAUCAAAACCCAGUGCUAAUCAAUGAUUCGCUCAGACCCCAGACCCAAGGUCAUCUGGCCGCGCUUCUGGGAUUCUAGAAAGCACGGAUGGGGACGAGGAACGGGGGAAGAACAGAGGUUGGGGUUGGAGAGAGAAUGAAGAAACAUGGAGAGAAAACAAUCACCUCUGUUCUCCUCUCUGGGCCAAAAGAGUGAGCAGUAAUGAGCGAGCCUGGGAGGGCACCUGGGAACCACAAGCCCCAACACACAGUGACAACUUGGUUGUAAGAAGUAAACACCUAAACCCAGGCAAGAUGAUAAGAGCCUUCUCAUUUGAUUCUCCAAGCAGCCUGGUGAAGUAGGAGUGGCAAGUAGCUCCAAUGCAAGCCUCGGAGAGCAAGAUGCAAGGCUCAGCUCAGUGUGAGCACACUUUGCUCACGUCCCCUCUUAGUGGUAGCUGGGACAGUCUAGGGCACAGGCGCCUUCUUGUUCUCUCAGGAAGCAGCAUGGUUUUCAUGCUUUUCCUUUCCCAGUACUCAAGGAGGCGUGCACUCCCAUUUCUGUUUCCACAUCCCAGGUUUCCCCCUGAUUUUGAGAUGUAGGGAUACAUCUACAAUUAGCCAUCACAACUUUAGGCUAAUUAAUUAGUUUGGACUUUAGUCUGAACUGAGUUCUCCAACUUAUUACCAAUGGAUUUUUAUAAUCACUGCGUGAAUCCCCUUCCUGGGUCUUGGUUUAAAGCAGAGAGAAAAAUAACUUUCAUAUAAGAAGGUAAUGGAGAAAAUAACUUACAUUUAAAACUUCAAGCAAGGCACCCCUAAGAUCAAUAGCCUCUUUGGGGGGCAUGUGGUAUGUCUUUUACAUAAGAACAGAAAAAAAGAAAACAAGAUUGGGACGCAGAACAUUGUUUGUGCAAAGCUCCAGCAGAUAGGCUUGGAUGUAUAUCAGACAUGCCGAUUCUCGGUCUCCUCGGCAGGACAUACUAGAUCCAUUUAAACAUCAUGGGAGGAGCCUGUAGCAAAUCUUGCAGAUAUAACAGGAGGAGGGUGGAAUCUGCAAGGAGCUUGGGACGUUCCCAGCAUGGCUUCAGUGUGUCACACAAAGGAGACGACAGCAUGUACCACAUUCCAUCCAUGGACUUACCAGACCUGACUUUGUUCAUUUUCCGGCAUCAGACCAGGUCAGGAGUGUUUAUGUUGGUGUGGCUAUUGACAUCAUGUACCAUCUUAGAGCCACCUGAAGAACUGGCAAAUACAGCUCACAUUCCAGCCACAAGAGGAGUUCCCACGGGCGUCUCAAAGGGUGCUCUUGAAUGUGGAUUGCCUGUUGUGGAUCUCAGGAAGAAUUCCUGUUUGUCAUUCAGGUUCUAUUUGGUUGCUAACUUGCUCAGAAAAGUUUGUUUUUCAUACAAAGACAGUGACUUUCUCCAAAGACGAUUGCAGUCUCCAGUGAAAGGGAAAGACAUGGCAUGUGUACCAACAAAAGUCACAGCAAUCUCCCUGAAUAGUUCGCAUGUUCCUUUUGUUACUCGGUGUUUUUCAUUCUAUUCAAAACUACUAUGGAGUGAGGAUAAUAGAUUCGCAACACUGAUGCAGAGAUAGCAAAUACUUUCUUGCUUGUUCCCGGAUUUAUUAGAAUUCAUUACUUCUUCCUGAUGGGCUAAUGCUGUCGCAGUUUGCAGUUGGUAUGCUGUGCCAUAAGUUAUUUUUAUAAGGCUCUCUACUUACAUGAUUUUUAUCACUGUGAGUUUUUCCUCAUUUCCUGGAAGUUAUCAAGCUGACAUAAAAAAAGCCAUCUUCUAAUGAUAGUGAAUUUUCAUAAGCUAUUUGCAUCAGAUCUCAUCCUCAGAUGCUGUGCUUGGCCCAGAGUCAACAACUAGAUUUCCUUUGCUGCAUUGUCUUUCUUAGCCGAAUAGGGUGCCUGCGUAUUGAUUGCACAUUAUUGAAUGUAAUGCUUGUUUUUAUAAAUGUCUUCUAAUAAAAGUGUUAGCAAACAG
ensembl:lincRNA 4931429P17Rik RIKEN cDNA 4931429P17 gene